rnacentral:rRNA from 1 species
GUCCACGCCCUAAACGAUGCAGACUGGGUGUUGUCGCCAUUGGCGUCAGUGCCGAAGCUAACGCGUUAAGUCUGCCGCCUGGGACUACGAACGCAAGUUUAACUCAAGGAAUUGACGGGCCCGCACAAGCAGCGGAGCGUGUGGUUUAAUUCGAUGCAACACGAAGAACCUUACCAGGGCUUGACAUGUAGGUGGUAGUGAACCGAAGGGGAACGACCCGCAAGGGAGCCUGCACAGGUGAUGCAUGGCUGUCGU